AAUGAACGCUGGCGGCAUGCCUAACACAUGCAAGUCGAACGAGACCUUCGGGUCUAGUGGCGCACGGGUGCGUAACGCGUGGGAAUCUGCCCUUGGGUUCGGAAUAACAGAGGGAAACUUCUGCUAAUACCGGAUAAUGACGUAAGUCCAAAGAUUUAUCGCCCAAGGAUGAGCCCGCGUAGGAUUAGCUAGUUGGUGAGGUAAAGGCUCACCAAGGCGACGAUCCUUAGCUGGCUGAGAGGAUGAUCAGCCACACUGGGACUGAGACACGGCCCAGACUCCUACGGGAGGCAGCAGUGGGGAAUUUUGGACAAUGGGGGCAACCCUGAUCCAGCCAUGCCGCGUGCGGGAAGAAGGCCUCGGUUGUAACG
rnacentral:rRNA from 1 species